AGUCUGGUGCCAGCAGCCGCGGUAAUUCCAGCUCCAAUAGUGUAUAUUAAUGUUCCUGCAGUUAUUCGAUGCUCGUAGUUGGAUUUCUGGGGGCUGAUUCUGGACGGCGGCUAUGGCCGCCACCGGUUUCUUCCUUCAUCCACCUGUUAACGUUGUUCGAGAUUCAUUUCUCGGCUUCGGGCUCAGGUAUUUUACCCUUACUAUAUUCAUUUAUUUAUCUUCUUUUUGAGCAAAUUAUAGUGUUUCAGGCAGGCGUGCGCCGGAAUACUUUAGCAUGGAAUAAUCGAAUUGGACUGUGUUCCUUAUUUGUUGGUUUGAUGGGCACAGAAUGGUUAAUAGGGAUAGUAAUUUUCAGGGGAGGCAUUAGUAUUUAAUUUCCAGAGGUGAAAUUCUUUGAAAUAUUAAAGACUAACUUAUGCGAAAGCAUUUAUUUUGCCAAUAAUGUUUUCAUUAAUCAUUGAACGAAAGUUAGGGGAUCAAAGACGAUCAGAUACCGUCCUAGUCUUAACCAUAAACGUUGCCGACUAGGGAUCGGAGGGCGUGCACAUUCCGCCUUCGGCACCUUACGAGAAAUCAAAGUCUUUUGGGUUCUGGGGGUAGUAUGGUCGCAAGGCUGAAACUUAAAGGAAUUGACGGAAGGGCACCACCAGGAGUGGAGCUUGCGGCUCAAUUUGACUCAACACGGGAAAUCUUACCAGGUCCAGACAUAGCGAGGAUUGACAGAUUGAUAGCUCUUUCUUGAUUCUAUGGGUAUUUUUGGUGGUGCAUGGCCGUUCUUAGUUGGUGGAGUGAUUUGUCUGGUUAAUUCCGUUAAACGAACGAGACCUCAGCCUGCUAAAUAGUUACUUGUCUUUCUUUUACGAGACAUGUUAACUUCUUAGAGGGACGUUGUGUGCAACCACAAGGAAGUUGAGGCAAUAACAGGUCUGUGAUGCCCUUAGAUGUCCUGGGCCGCACGCGUGCUACACUGAUACGUACAACGAGGUAUAUGUGUUUAUACAUCGAUGCUGCUCCGAAAUAGACAAAGCUAAAUCUUCUAAAAUACGUAUCGUGCUGCGGAUAGAUCGUUGAAAUUAUGAAUCUUGAAGGUGGAAUUCCUAGUAAGCGCGGGUCAUCAACCCGCGUUGAUUACGUCCCUGCCCUUUGUACACACCGCCCAUCGCUCCUACCAAUUUCGAGUGGCUCGGUGAACCUCUUUGGACUGUCGAGCAAUCGCGAAAUUAGAGUGAACCUGGUCAC
rnacentral:rRNA from 1 species